rnacentral:misc_RNA from 1 species
UCCGGCUUAACGCCGGCAGUCUCCCUAGAGAGCCCAACUGAAUGCUGGCAACUAAGGACAAGGGUUGCGCUCGUUGCGGGACUUAACCCAACAUGUCACCACACGAGCUGACGACAGCCAUGCAGCACCUGUCACUCGGUCGUAUUGCUACGAAAACCAUAUCUCUAUGGCGGUCCGAGGAUGUCAAACCCAGGUAAGGUUCUUCGCGUUGCUUCGAAUUAAACCACAUGAUCCACCGCUUGUGCGGGCCCCCGUCAAUUCCUUUGAGUUUUAGUCUUGCGACCGUACUUCCCAGGCGGGGUACUUAUUGCGUUAGCUCCGGCUCGGCAGGGGUCAAGACCCACCAAGCCUAGUACCCAUCGUUUACAGCGUGGACUAC